AGAAUAAAUUUUUGGUUUAAAUCGCAGCAACAAGGUCAUAAAUUCCAAUGUACUAUAUGUAUUGUACAUAUAUGCAUGUAUAAUUGCUUAAUUGCGGAUCAAAUAGAUCAUUCGAUUGAACAAACAAUGGGGGCCCGAGGCGCAGAGACUGGGGCUAAGAGCUCCCCGGUUUUUAUUUACAGUAACUUUUAUCCGAACCUCGUCGAGGAGAGUGGAAUAAAUAGAAAAAAUAAACGCAAACGUGCCUGGAA